GAUGAACGCUGGCGGCGUGCCUAAUACAUGCAAGUCGAGCGAACGGACGAGAAGCUUGCUUCUCUGAUUUUAGCGGCGGACGGGGGAGUAACACGUGGAUAACCUACCUAUAAGGCUGGGAUAACUUCGGGAAACCGGAGCUAAUACCGGAUAAUAUUUUGAACCGCAUGGUUCAAAAGUGACAGACGGUCUUGCUUUCACUUAUAGAUGGAUCCGAGCUGCAUUAGCUAGUUGGUAAGGUAACGGCUUACCAAGGCAACGAUGCAUAGCCGACCUGAGAGGGUGAUCGGCCACACUGGAACUGAGACACGGUCCAGACUCCUACGGGAGGCAGCAGUAGGGAAUCUUCCGCAAUGGGCGAAAGCCUGACGGAGCAACGGCGCGUGAGUGAUGAAGGUCUUCGGAUCGUAAAACUCUGUUAUUAGGGAAGAACAUAUGUGUAAGUAACUGUGCACAUCUUGACGGUACCUAAUCAGAAAGCCACGGCUAAAUACGUG
rnacentral:rRNA from 1 species